UGGGGAAUUUUGGGCAAUGGGCGAAAGCCUGACCCAGCAACGCCGCGUGAAGGAUGAAGUCUCUCGGGAUGUAAACUUCGUAAGAAUAGGAAGAAUAAAUGACGGUACUAUUUGUAAGGUCCGGCUAACUACGUGCCAGCAGCCGCGGUAAUACGUAGGGACCAAGCGUUGUUCGGAUUUACUGGGCGUAAAGGGCGCGUAGGCGGCGUGGUAAGUCACUUGUGAAAUCUCCGAGCUUAACUCGGAACGGUCAAGUGAUACUGCUGUGCUAGAGUACAGAAGGGGCAAUCGGAAUUCUUGGUGUAGCGGUGAAAUGCGUAGAUAUCAAGAGGAACACCUGAGGUGAAGACGGGUUGCUGGGCUGACACUGACGCUGAGGCGCGAAAGCCAGGGGAGCAAACGGGAUUAGAUACCCCUGUAGUCCCUGAGCGGGCUGGCAAGGCGCAU
rnacentral:rRNA from 1 species